rnacentral:rRNA from 1 species
GGUUGAUCCUGCCAGUAGUCAUAUGCUUGUCUCAAAGAUUAAGCCAUGCAUGUCUAAACAUCUUUAUACAGUGAAACUGCGUACAGCUCAUUAUAUCAGUAAUUAUUUAUUUGAUGGUACCUUACUACAUGGAUAACCGUAGUAAUUCUAGAGCUAAUACAUGCGUAAAAUCCCGACUGCAAGGAAGGGAUGUAUUUAUUAGAUAAAAAAUCAAUGCAGUAAUGCUUCAUUGGUGACUCAUAGUAACUGUUCGAAUCGCAUGGCUUUAUGCUGGCGAUAGUUCAUUCAAAUUU